AACGAACGCUGGCGGCAGGCCUUAUACAUGCAAGUCGAGCGCUCUCUUCGGAGGGAGCGGCGGACGGGUUAGUAACGCGUGGGAACGUGCCCUUCUCUAAGGAAUAGCCACUGGAAACGGUGAGUAAUACCUUAUACGCCCUUCGGGGGAAAGAUUUAUCGGAGAAGGAUCGGCCCGCGUUAGAUUAGGUAGUUGGUGGGGUAACGGCCUACCAAGCCUACGAUCUAUAGCUGGUUUGAGAGGAUGAUCAGCAACACUGGGACUGAGACACGGCCCAGACUCCUACGGGAGGCAGCAGUAGGGAAUCUUGGACAAUGGGGGAAACCCUGAUCCAGCCAUGCCGCGUGUGUGACGAAGGCCCUAGGGUCGUAAAGCACUUUCGCCAGGGAUGAUAAUGACAGUACCUGGUAAAGAAACCCCGGCUAACUCCG
rnacentral:rRNA from 1 species